GACGAACGCUGGCGGCGUGCCUAACACAUGCAAGUCGAGCGAUGAAGCUCUGCGCUUGUGCCAUUCUGAAGAGCAGCGAACGGGUGAGUAACGCGUGGAGACUCUGCUUUUCUGCGGGGGACAACCUGGGGACACGAAUGCAAAUACCGCAUAACAACCUUCAACAUAAGUUUGAAGUGAGAAUGAUGCAAUUGCAGCAUUCAAUGAUGACCUCGCGUUGUAUUAGUUAGUUGGUGAGGUACAGGCGCACCAAGGCGAGGAAACAGAGCCGACCUGAGAGGGAGGUCCGCCACAUUGGGAGUGAGACCCGCCCCAAACGGCUUCAGGAAGCAGCAGGAGGGAAUCGUCGGCCAUGGGCGGAAGUCUGACCGCGCAACGCCGCGUGAGGGAAGAAGGAUGUCGGAUCGGAAAACUCGGUUGGUGGGGAAGAACGUGGGUGAGAGUGGAACGCUCAUCAAGUGACGGUAACUACCCAAAAAGCAACGGCUAACUACGUG
rnacentral:rRNA from 1 species